rnacentral:rRNA from 1 species
GCUUGUACAGGUGCUGCAUGGCUGUCGUCAGCUCGUGUCGUGAGAUGUUCGGUUAAGUCCGCUAACGAGCGCAACCCUCGCUGUGUGUUACAAGUGUCACACGGAACUGCCGGUCAUAAACCGGAGGAAGGUGGGGAUGACGUCAAGUCAGCAUGGCCUUUAUAUCCUGGGCUACACACACGCUACAAUGGGAAGGGACAAUAGGUUGCGAAGCCGCGAGGCGGAGCCAAUCCAGCAAAACUUCCCUCAGUUCAGAUUGCAGGCUGCAACUCGCCUGCAUGAAGUUGGAGUUGCUAGUAAACGCAGGUCAGCCAUACUGCGUUGAAUACGUUCCCGGGGCUU